rnacentral:rRNA from 1 species
UGGGGAAUUUUGGACAAUGGGCGAAAGCCUGAUCCAGCAAUGCCGCGUGUGUGAAGAAGGCCUUCGGGUUGUAAAGCACUUUUGUCCGGAAAGAAAUCCUUGGCUCUAAUACAGUCGGGGGAUGACGGUACCGGAAGAAUAAGCACCGGCUAACUACGUGCCAGCAGCCGCGGUAAUACGUAGGGUGCAAGCGUUAAUCGGAAUUACUGGGCGUAAAGCGUGCGCAGGCGGUUUGCUAAGACCGAUGUGAAAUCCCCGGGCUCAACCUGGGAACUGCAUUGGUGACUGGCAGGCUAGAGUAUGGCAGAGGGGGGUAGAAUUCCACGUGUAGCAGUGAAAUGCGUAGAGAUGUGGAGGAAUACCGAUGGCGAAGGCAGCCCCCUGGGCCAAUACUGACGCUCAUGCACGAAAGCGUGGGGAGCAAAACAGGAUUAGAUACCCUGGUAGUCCACGCCCUAAAACGAUGUCAACUAGUUGUUGGGGAUUCAUUUCCUUAGUAACGUAGCUAACGCGUGAAGUUGACCGCCUGGGGAGUACGGUCGCAAGAUUAAAAACUUAAAUGAAUUGACGGGGUCAUAGCUGUUUCCU